UUAAUUAUUUGCUUGUGCCACUCAGAAGAAACGUCGUUAAAAUAGAGUUUGGUAUCCUCCGGCGGGCGCCUCGCCCCGUGAGGGGCGUGGCCGGGAGGGCGUCCCCGAGGGGACCCCCUGCCCGCCGAAGCAACAGUUAGGUAUGUUCACAAAGGGUUAUAGAGCGGUAACUCAGUAAUGAUCCCUCCGCUGGUUCACCAACGGAGA
rnacentral:misc_RNA from 1 species